rnacentral:rRNA from 1 species
UACGUAGGGCGCAAGCGUUGUCCGGAAUUAUUGGGCGUAAAGAGCUCGUAGGUGGCUUGUUGCGUCUGCCGUGAAAGCCCGUGGCUUAACUGCGGGUCUGCGGUGGAUACGGGCAGGCUAGAGGCUGGUAGGGGCAAGCGGAAUUCCUGGUGUAGCGGUGAAAUGCGCAGAUAUCAGGAGGAACACCGGUGGCGAAGGCGGCUUGCUGGGCCAGUUCUGACGCUGAGGAGCGAAAGCGUGGGGAGCAAACGGG